rnacentral:rRNA from 1 species
UACGGAGGGAGCUAGCGUUGUUCGGAAUUACUGGGCGUAAAGCGCGCGUAGGCGGCUUUGUAAGUUAGAGGUGAAAGCCCGGGGCUCAACUCCGGAACUGCCUUUAAGACUGCAUCGCUUGAAUCCGGGAGAGGUGAGUGGAAUUCCCAGUGUAGAGGUGAAAUUCGUAGAUAUUGGGAAGAACACCGGUGGCGAAGGCGGCUCUCUGGACCGUAACUGACGCUGAGGCGCGAAAGCGUGGGGAGCAAACAGG